AUUGAACGCUGGCGGCAGGCUUAACACAUGCAAGUCGAGCGGAGAGAGGUAGCUUGCUACUGAUCUUAGCGGCGGACGGGUGAGUAAUGCUUAGGAAUCUGCCUAUUAGUGGGGGACAACAUUUCGAAAGGAAUGCUAAUACCGCAUACGUCCUACGGGAGAAAGCAGGGGAUCUUCGGACCUUGCGCUAAUAGAUGAGCCUAAGUCGGAUUAGCUAGUUGGUGGGGCAAAGGCCUACCAAGGCGACGAUCUGUAGCGGGUCUGAGAGGAUGAUCCGCCACACUGGGACUGAGAAACGGCCCAGACUCCUACGGGAGGCAGCAGUGGGGAAUAUUGGACAAUGGGCGGAAGCCUGAUCCAGCCAUGCCGCGUGUGUGAAGAAGGCCUUAUGGUUGUAAAGCACUUUAAGCGAGGAGGAGGCUACUUUAGUUAAUACCUAGAGAUAGUGGACGUUACUCGCAGAAUAAGCACCGGCUAACUCUGUGCCAGCAGCCGCCGUAACAC
rnacentral:rRNA from 1 species